CCCCCAUCCCCUGUUUCCUCUUAUCCCUCCUCUCCCGACGACUUCUCUAUUUGUCCUCCCUCUCCCCGACGAUUGAGUUGGAUCCCCAUGGGAAUCAGGCGCAUCGACGAACCCUAAUCUGACGACUGGUGCAUCGACGGCUUGCAUCAUCGGCAUUUUCGGUUCUUCCUCUGUCCCGUGAUGGCUUCGUUUGCACAAGAAGGAGGUGGGGUUGGCCAAGUUGAAGAACCAGAAGGGGAGGAACCAACUGAAUACCCCCCACGAGGUCUCUGGAAUGACUUAGGUGCCCGAGUGUUCCCUAGGAAGUUAUGCAAGCCUACAUAUAUUACCAGACUAUCUUUCAAGCAUUUCAACAAAACUGUCAAGAAGUUUAGUGAGAUUCAAUUAGGCCAUGUGAGAAAGUACAAAAUGGAAGCCCUACUUCAUAUGCCAUACAAACUUAAUAUCCCAAUGAAUCUGCUCGAAUGGAUAGAUCAUGAUAUGUUUGGAAGUAUACAGCCCUGUUUCAAGCAUAAGAACAAAGUUAUCAAGAUUACUGAAGAUAUGGUCGACAAUUUUUUUGAUUUCCCUGGUGGCAUCGUGCCUUUUGUAUUUAGUAGUGACGAUCCCCAAGUGAAGGCAGAGGUUACAGAGUUAAGGAACAAGUAUCUUGGCCAUCGGAACAAAAUGCCAAUCAACAAAGUAGAGGAGGUGAUGCUUAGUGACGAGACCGAAGAUGGUUUUAUCAAGAGCUUCACUUUUUAUUUCCUAUCAUCUAUUUUGGGCCCUGCGUCAUACUGCUUUGGUAACACCAAGUUCUUGUACUCUCUAAGAGAUGUUUCUGCUAUCCCUUCACUUGACUUUGGGUAAUUGGCACUGGAUUUCAUGCAUGAGGAGUCAGAGCGUCACUUUGAAAUGAUCAUGAAUAGACUAAGUGUUGAGGAAAUGAACAAGGCUUCAUAUAUUGGGGGUGUCUUCCUAUUUGGGGAAUCAUUUAUCUAGAUUUUGUUGAUUUUGAUGUUAUUGAGAAUCAUCAGUCAACUGUGGAUUAUUCUCUUCCUUGGAUAUCUCACAUUAAGAAUGACGAUUUCAAGUAUCUCGCAAUGGUUGAUAGGAAUUACGAGUCUAGUAAAAAUUUCGGGGUUUUACCACUAUGAGACAUAUCACGCACCCACUAUGCCAAUGUGGUGCCUGUUAACAAUGCACCUGAUGUUGCUGCUAUGUUUCAUUCAGUUCCUUAUGUGGAGGUCAACAAUGCCAAUAGUGUUCCUGAAGCUCUCAAUGAGGACACGUCAAUUGAUUCAAAAAGUCCACAUAUCAUUUCAGAAGGUCCCAGUGCAAAAGUUGAACCCGAUGUAAAAGUUAAACCAAAGCCACAUUUGAAAUCAGGUUCCCUCCAAUGAUGUCGUUAAGCAGGAGCCAAUCGGACCGAAAUUUGAGAACAUUUCUGUCCUGAAUUCUAUGUACCAAACACCAAUUUUUCCUGUUCAUGGUACACCUCUGAAUACUAACUCUGUUGAGCAAGCAACUACUUCACAACCUAAGGUCUGCUUGAAGUUUCUCAAAAAAAGUUUCCCAAUCCUAAUUUUGAAUGAACUUACAACAACAUUUCAACUUCCUUUCUGAGCAUGAAGAAAAUUUUCUAUCAACUGAAGCAGUUGAUAUCAAUUUUUCUAGUGGAACUAAUGCAAAAAGAAGUUUUAUAUUGAUUAGUUCCGCUUCUUCAAAUGAAAGAGUUAAGCGCUUCCAAGGGACUCCAACCAUUAUUGAGGAUGACUCUCCUAUCACUCCUGCUGUUGCGACUAAUGAAGACAUACCAGCCUCUGACUGUGACAUAAGUGUAGGAAUUCCAAUGAACAUGGACUUUGCUGUCCAACAAGGCUAUUCUACAAUGAACAAUGCAGAAGCUGGACCAAGUACAGGAACUAAUACAAUUGAAAAGAAGAACAGGAAAAAAAGAGCAGCUAAACUUCAAUCUCCAAAUCCACCCAAGAAGCUCAAAAUAUCUCGAGAAGUGGAUAUCUUCUUUUCCAAAUAUCUGAGGAAGCCUAUCUUCCAAGACUACACUGUUUUUGUCGACAUAGAGGGUUUUCCUGUAAGCUAUGAGAAUUACUUAUCUUCAUUUAAAGCGAGGGGUGAGAUUGGAGAUGAAGUGAUGAACUCUUUUAUCCAAGUUCUUAACUACGAAUCAAAGAUGUCAUCUGAAGUAAAGCCUUAUAUCAAGAAGUACUAUUUCACUUCGUACUUCACUAAUAAAUUGUUGGUUACCCCUGAGUCAUUUGGUCCAGUUACGUGCAUACGAGAAUUUGACAGGAUUAAUUCAGAAGAAAGCCUCUGGAAACAAGACUUGUUAUACUUCCCUACUAUAAAAUCAAACCACUGGGUUAUACUUUCCAUAAACUCUCUCUUUGAGAGAUCUCACUUUUUUGAUCUCUGUGGCACUAUCCUGGGAACUACCCAAUAAGAACUUGUUUACAACUUGCUUUCCAACUACAACAUGAUUUGCAAGCUGAGUAAAAAGCCAUUCAAGAAUGUAUUCUCUUUCAAGCUUCAACCUAUAGGACCUUACCCAACAAACUAUCUCAUGCAUGACUUAGGCCACUAUCUGCCUUUAUACAUGGAAAAUUUUGAAGGCAAAACGAUGAAGAGUUUUAGUGUGGACAACAUUCCAAAGUACAGAAUGAUCUCUGCGUUCAAGUCAUUCAAAAGCACCUUGAACAAACUGAAAGAAGAAGAUCUGCCAAGACCAAAUAGACUUUUUCGAAAGAUGCAUCUGCAAACAUUUUUAAUGUGUAAUUGAUCGGAGAAAAGCAUGCAUUUUCAUGUCUCCAACAGUUUCAUCUAUAAUAGUACGGUAGUAGAUGCACAGUACUAGUUGUUCAAACAUAUGUUAUGCGAGCAAGUGCUAUACUCUUGGAUAUCUACUUUUCUUCGUGAAAUAUAUAGUAUUUUUGUUGCAA